AUGGCUCCACCUUCCCAUCUGAAGAUGAAGAUGAAGAUGCUCGCCGUGGUGUGCGUCCUUGUGCUGGUCGGCCUCAGCUUGAGCCAGCAGGCGACGGCGUCGGGCUGCGAUGACUGCGCCGACGAACACAAUCCGGCGGUUUGUGCUCGCAGUUGCACUGAAUAUUCCAGCGCCGAGCAUUCCUGCGCUGGCUGCCCCAUGCUGCAAAGCAUGCUUUCGUGCUCGCAAAAAUGCUUGGAUGGUUGCUUUCACGCGUGCGGUAGACGGCCCUGA
rnacentral:rRNA from 1 species